ACCUGGCUGGCUCAGUCAAUAGAGCGUGAGACUCUUAAUCUCGGGGUCAUGAGUUCAAGCACUAUGUUGGGUG
rnacentral:tRNA from 1 species